GCAAGCAGAAGGCCACAAAGCAGAAGCUUCAUCUUCAGAGACAUAAAAAAGGCUAAGAUAAUCUUUCCAUUCAAGUGCCUUCUCAGCAUCGGGACUAAAGCUUGUACCAAACCUGACAUUAUUAGUAGAUGAAAGCUCCUUAGAGUAAUUCCUCUUAACUUCCGCUGGUAGCCCAAAGAAACGAUGUGUCGCAUCCUUAACACCGUCAAGAACCUCAAGUGGGACUCCAUGGUUAACCAAUUGGAAGAACCCAUACUUCUCUGCAGCAUCACAAAUGGACUCAGCAACUUUAGGGUCACUAUCCCAAUUGGACAUGUCAAUAACAGGAAUUGAUUCAUGAGGUAUAAUAUUAAUCAACGCUUCUUGGGGUUGAAUAUAUUGCUUUGGAAGGCUUUUGAGACCCAAAUCUGAAAGACCCUUCACUCCAUUUCCUUUGUUAAUCACAAAAUCAGUCAGAUCAAAGGAAUCAGUGGACAUUGUUGGAGCCAUUUCUUCUUCAACUAGUUAAAAGAAAGUAAUUGAUUGAGGGAGAAUAAUAGCUCUUAAUAUUAGUAUAUGAAGUAAGAAGAAAAUGAAAAUGGUAGAGGUGGUACCGGUGACAAUCAAAGUAUUAUCCAUUGCUAUUUAUAGCUUCUCUUCCUUGAUGAUUAAAACAAAUGUGGACUGCUAUGGUAUUUCUUUACAAUUUUUCUUUUGUUAACUAUAAUAAAAAAAUUAAAAUAAGUAACUUACCUACCCAUUUUGUUCACUUGCCUACCUUCUUCCAAGUUUAGUCUAAUUAGGACCAAUUUUUUAUAAGACCAACUGCUUUCUUAUUUUAAAUCCCUCAGUGCACCACUAAUUGUUUGACUGAGUUUGGGAUAUUUAUAAUGAAUAUGAUUUUGGCAUGUUAAUGUUAUGGCCAAAAUAAUAAUUUGUUAUUACUAUUUUAUCAUAGUUUUGUAAAUUGUUAACAACAAAUUAAAUAAAUAAAUAUCUCCAAUUUAUUUUUUAUUUGCAUCUAAAUAUUAACCCAUUUUUUAUCUCAAAAAAAAAAAAAAAAAAUAUAUAUAUAUAUAUACCGUUAGAUUAAAAGAAAAGAUUUACAAUUUAUUCCAUCUAUGGUUUCUUAACAUUUCAUGUCCAAAUAAAACAUUACGCAGAGCAACGUUUUAUUAACAAUUAAAAGAGUGUAAUCAUUAAGCAUUAUCUUAAAAAUUAUUGUUGAGCAAAUGCCAAAUGCUAUACAUAAAAUAUAGUAAUAAAAAUAAUAAAGAGCAUCAUUUAAAUAGUGUUAAAAUAAGUACUUUUUUUCCUCUUCUUCGUUUCUUUGUACCUAAUUUUUUUUACAUCAUUCCUCUCUUAUUUCUUCUUCUUUUUCAGUUUCUUUUUUCUUGUUCUCCUUCAUCUUCUUUUUUCAUUUUCAUGUCCUUCAUUUUUUGUUUUCUCUCUCUUUUUUAAGUUCUUUAUUCUUCCUAAAGUCUCUUCUUUUGUUUUUAUUUUUUUUUAGUUUUAAUUAAUUUUUCUCGUAUUAGCUUAAGCUCCAUUUGUUUCCGUAAAAUAACUUGCUGGAAAACAUUUUCAUGAAAAACAUUUUGCUUGAAAAAUAUUUUUCAAAUGACUUACUUUAUGUUGUUUGGUUGUAAUAUUGAAAAUUAGUUAAAAAUAUUAAAGUUUUUAUCUCAUAAUACCAUAAAAAAUAUUAAUAAUAAUAAAAAUUUUAUAAUUUAAAAAUUUUAUUGUUAAAUAUGAAAAGAAUGCAAAUAUAUAUAUAUAUAUAUAUAUNNNNNNNNNNNNNNNNNNNNNNNNNNNNNNNNNNNNNNNNNNNNNNNNNNNNNNNNNNNNNNNNNNNNNNCCCGUCAGUGGUCAAAUUUAAAUGGUGACUGGUGGUAGUGACUAUGAUGAUCAAUAAAUUUAAAAUAUGGAUGAUCAAUAAAUAAAUAUGGUGAUUAUCCGAAAAUUUUUUUACUCUCUCGAAAAUGGGAAGUUGUUUUUCUUAAAAAAUAACUUAAUUUUCCUUUAACCUGGAAAAUAUUUUCAGUUUAGUUAUUUUCCCGAGUGCCCGAAACAACGAAAAAUUGUGGAAAAUAUUUUCUUGUAAGUUAUAUUAUAGAAAUAAAUGGAUUAGUUAUAAAAUUUUAGAUGAUAUAAUUAAUAAAUAUAAUUGGUUUAAUCAAUUUUAUCAUUAAUUAAUGAUAAUCAAUUAAUAAAAUAUUUUAAAUUUUUAAAAUAUCUACUAAUUUAGCAACUGAUUAAAAACAAAUAAUUAAUAUUCGCAAACAUAUUGUCAAAACAGAAACAAAAGGGGAUUUGUAAUUAACAAAGGCAAAUUUCUAGAAGUUGGCCAUUGCUAGCCCGCCUGCAAACUUACCAGCUGCCGCAAGUAAUUGAGUAGAGCAGGUUUCUUUAAACUUCCUAAUUAAUUCAAGCAAAUCUGAUUCAUAAAUGUCAGUAAUGACUAUAAAUAAAUUAAUAAACUUUUUCUUUUCUGGUUUUUUAACCAUGCGGUGUCCGUAGAAGACUAGCCCGACUAUAAUUUAUCAUUUUCUCUCUUUAGUUUUUCCAACUUAGUUUGCAGUUUGAGUUACUCAUUGAUCCAUUUAAUUAAUUAAUUAUUCACAUUACUGGACUGCUCUAGACUAGCAAUUUAAUAAAAAUUGGUAGAACCAACGCACAUGCUUGUUUUAAAAAAAGAAAUUUUGUAUCUCUCUAGCAAUUUCUGUCCUGUCCACCAAUUGCUUUCCAACUUACAAAGAAUCUGCAUAUAAAAAAAAAAAAAAAAAAAAAAAAAAAAAAAAACUCCUUUCUCCAUCUCUAUGUAAAUCAAUUAAAUUAAGUACUUAAAAGCUUUCUUCCAGAUCGAUCAAAUGGUUGGUGGAUCUCUAAACAAUGUUGCAUUAAUUAAUAAAUGCCAGAUGCCUGGAAUUUGUUGGUCAAUUUCUCAGUAUCUUGAGGAGAAGAUCAAUUCACCUAAUUAAUCUACUGUUUUUAGUUGCCUUUUAUCUGGGAAACAAGCAUUCAAGAUUACCUUUCUUUCAUUGCAAAUUUAUUAAAAAUCAUAUCAUCCUUUCUUUCGAUAGAAUAAUUCUACCACGUAUUCUUUGAGUAAAUAAUUUAAUUCAAAAACUAUCUAUUUUUGGUAUGUAUCUUAUAAAGUAAACCAAUGGAGUUUUGGUUGAAGCGGUAAGUAACUUUAAAUAUAUAUGGAUGAGAGGGUAAAAAACCUAUAAAUUAGAGGGAAAAAUAGAUUUUUUUUAAUAUUAAUUUGACUAUAAAUUAGAGAUGAAUUUAUAUUUUUUCUAUAAUAUUAUUUGCUCUAUGUUUUGCCUAAAAUAUGCCUAAUUGAAGAAUAAGUCUAAUGAAUCAAAAGAGACUAUCUAUUUCUUACGAAAACGAAUAGACCAAAGUGAUUCCUGCUUCUCUAUAUGUACUUGUUUUGUGUUGGAUACUCAUUGGUGUAUUCAGGAUGAGCCUAUUGGCUCAGGAUCAUCGUUGGUUGCAUGAUUUACGUAGUUGACAAUCUUAUUUUAUUAAUUAAGUUCCAAUUUCAAGUUCAUAAAAAUAACCCAAAACACACCUGCAGAGGUGAAUUAUAGUUCUCUAAUCAUAGGGUUCCGAUACACUGGUUUACAAAAAAAAAAAAAAAAAGAAAAAAAACCAUAAAGUAUUGUGAAAAAAUUUAAUCUGAAUUAGCGUGUCACUGUCAACUAACACGAAUACAGCCACGAUAGUUCCAACUUGUAAAAAUAAUUAAAAUUACAUUCUUGUUUCUAUUUCUAAAGGAAAAAGAAAAAGAACAACAGUUAUUAAUUCUUAUUUUUAACAAAUCUGAAAUUUUAUUCAAUAAAGAUUAUAUGAUUACGGCAUUAUUAACAGUGACACAAACUAUUACUACAUUCAUAAUAUAACAGUUGUAGUAAAAUUAUUUAGCAACAGCAAAGUCAACAGUCUUCUUCCCAUCAUGAGCCUUUCUGAAGAAAUGCUUGACAUAAUCAGAAUAAAGGAUGUUUUUGUAUUUAGGCUUCUCUCCACUUGCAAGAACUUCAGGCAAAGGACCGAUCACAUCACUCGGCUUUGGAUUAACAAAAAUCGGAAUUGAGAUUCUGUUUUUGCUUCCACUAGCAAUUACACAGUGCUCUAUACUCUUAUAUCGACCGUUGCUUAAUAUCUGCAGUGCAUCUCCUACAUUGAUAACGAGUGAGCCUUCAAUAGGAGGAACAUGAACCCAUCCAUCUUCUUCUCCUUUUCCUUCGUUUACUCUAACGUAAAGCCCUCCGAUUUCGUCUUGCAGAAGAAAAGUCAGUGCAGAGACAUCAGAAUGGCGACCUACGCCUAUUGUGAGAUUAGGAUUUGGACAUCUUGGAUAGUAGUUUAGGUUAAUCCUUUUGGAACCCAUUAGUAAAGAUUCUUUCUUGUCGUCUAUUUCUUUCACGUUCAAUCUCUCCAUUAAAGCACCCAUUAGCUUCUUGCACAGAACUUCAGAUCUCUUCAUGUAUUCCAGGCAUUCAUCCCUAAAGAGAAAAGAAUAAGUAAGCCUUAAUUAGUCAAAUUAACAAAAUAAUAAUAAUAUACAAUUAGAGCUUAAUCAUAGCCAAACUAAAAAUAAAUAAAUAACAAAAUUUUGAUUUUUUAUCUCAUAAUUUAUAAGCAUCUUUGGAUGAAUUGACAAACAAGAAAUUCGAGAGGAUCUAUUUCGCCGUCAAACCAAAUAAUUUGUUCGCUAAAAAUUUUGUAAGAACUAAUUUUAUCCUUUUUUCUCUUUCAGUGAAUGGACAGAAAUACUAUGUUUCGAAAGAGAAAUUUUAGAACGGCCAAAAAAAUUAAAUAAAGCUAGAAAAAAUUAGCAUUCAAUUCUCAAAUAUAACAAAUAAUGACAAAAAUACAUAUUUUACUUUUCUUGUGGAAAACAUUUAUAAUUAAGUUUCAUUAUUUUAAAUGAAAUAUAUGAUUUGCUUUUGAUCUUAAAGAAAAGAUACUAUAUACUGAAUGACUAAUUAUUUUUUACAUUACAUACAAAACAGAUAUUCCUUUUUUAGAAAGGAAAAGAAAAAAGAAAAGAAAAAAAGAGUUGGAUUUUCUUACUUGCACUCAGGAGGCCAUAGUGCAGAAGCCUCCUCUUCAGAGACAUAGAAGAGGCUAAGAUAAUCUUUCCAUUCAAGAGCCUUUUCACAGUCAGGACUAAAGCUUGUACCAAACCUGACAUUAUUAGUAGAUGAAUGCUCCUUGGAAUAUUUUCUCUUAACUGCUGCAGGUAAUCCAAAGAAACGAUGUGUCGCAUCCUUAACACCUUCAAGAACCUCAAGUGGGACUCCAUGGUUAACCAACUGGAAGAACCCAAAUUUCUCUGCAGCAUCACAAACAGAUUCUGCAAUUUUAGGAUCAGUGUCCCAGUUUAACAUGUCAAUAACAGGAAUGGAUUCAUUUGGGAUAAUAUUGAUAAGUGCUUCUUGGGGUUGGAUAUAUUGUCUAGGAAGGCUUUUUAGUCCCAAAUCUGACAGACCCUUUACACCAUUUCCUUGGUUUAUUACAAAAUCAUUCAGAUCAAAGUUGUCAGUGGCUGAGUCUGCAAGUGUUGGAGCCAUUUCUUGGUCCUUGAAGGUAUAGGAAAAGUAAACUUGGGUUAAGACUUAAAAGUGGAGUAGUAAGUUCUUAAGUUCUUUUUUUUUUUGGGUUGAAUAGAUUAGAGAGGAUGGUGAUGGUAUUUAUAAUGUAUAAAAUGUUGAAUUAUAAGAGGCCAUGUGACUGCUUGUUCUUUUUCGGGUUAUUGAUAAUUUUUUUUAUCAGCAAAUAUAAGUUUAUUAUUAUUAGAAUUAGAAAAUAUAUGGAGCAAGUAAUUAUUGAUAAUUACUUCACCAAACCCUGUUCUUUGUUUUCUUUCAUUAGAAAAAACCCUCACCUACCACAUAGCUUUCCAAUUUCAUGCCUCACUAGUUGCCAAUAUUCAUGCCUUUUCCACCAUCUUCCCUCAUCAACAUUAUAUUGAUUCAUGACUAAUAUUUGUUGGAGAAAUUUUUAUUUUUUCAUCGUCUGCAUUUGGAAAAAUUCACUUUGAAAAUUCAAUUCAAAUUUAUUUUAUUAAUUUAAAGAAUUUCUAAUAUAGGAAAAGUUUCAAUUAUAUUUAUAAAUCAGUCUAAUAAAUUCAAAUCCUAUUAAGUUUGAUUUCAACUCGUUUUUUUUUAUCGAAACAUAAAAACCAAUCAGAUUAAAAAAUAAGAACAAAAUACAAUGAAGAAUAAAAUCUCAUUGUUUGAAUUAAGCUCGUUAAAGAUAUACUCAAUCUCAAUUUGAACUUCAAAAACUAAAUUCUAACUUGCCUUGUUGAUAAUUUAAUUAACAGUUAAAAAAAUAUAUUUUUACAAAAUUAAAGUUUCAGCUCGAACUCAACUCAUUUAUUAAAUAAACUUAAUAAAAAUGCUCGAACUUAGCUUAUUAAUUUUACUGAAUGAGCUUGAGUGCAUUUUUUCCAAGCCGAUUAAUUUACAAUCCUAAUUCUAAAUACAAUGUAGAAACAAGUAAUAAUAUUAUAAUAUAUAAUUUUUGUAUUUGAAAAGUGUAUUGAUUUGGGUUCAGUUUUUCAUUUAUAUUAAACUUUCCUAGAAUUAUAUUAAUAAACAAAAAUAUUAUUUGCUGAUAAUAAAAAAAAAUAAAGAGAGAGAGAGAGAGAGAGAGAGAGAGAUAUGUAUAAAAUUUUUGUUUGUAUAAAGUCCAGUAUGUUGAUGUACACUAGGGACGUACUGCUUAUUUUUGGAAUAUAGUAACAAGCGCGUACGAUAUAUGUAAUUCAAUUUGAUUUAGUUAGGUUGUGUUGAUAUUUCAUUAUUAUUAUUAUUAUUAUUAUUAUUAUUAGGGAUCUGGAUGUACACCUCAUAUCUUAUUAAUUUAUUAUAUCGUCUCUCUUAAUGAAACAGAUUUCACGUGUCUUCAGGGAAUUUAGGCUUUAAAAAAAUAUUUUUUUGUGUAUUUAAUGUGUAAAAAUAUCAUUAUUUCAUUGUUAAUUCAAAAACAAAUUUAGUGGUGUGAUUCACUACUUAAAUGAAUUAUUGAUUAAAUAGAUAGAUAUUUUUUGUUUGUUUAUUUCUGAGUUAUAUACAUCUUAUAAUACAUUUAUAUAAUGUAGGAAAAUGUAUUAUCAUCAUUUUAUUAUUAAUUUAAAAGUAGCUUAGUUCUCGGAUUGGGAGCGUAGGUAUUCAAGUAAAGAGAUAAUUUGCCGAUACUGGUAGCAAAGACUUCUAGUCAAGCGAGGCAUCCCAUUCUUUGGGUUGGGUACUAAUAGUUAAUCAAAACAAGUAAAGAGAUAACUUAAAUAUAUCAAUAAGGUAUUAAUUGGAAUAGUAAGCAAUUUUUAUAUCUGUAAGGACGAUAAUACAAGUUCGAACCCUCCUCCUGGUUAUAACAAAAUAAAGAAGAUAAUUUGAAUAUAACAUACUUAUUUUCUUUUUCAUUUUUUUAACAUAUUUUGCGAUAUAAUUAAAAGAUAAUUCUCCAUACGUAUUGCGAAUUAUUAUCUUUAAUUUUUUUUUUCCUUGAAAUAUUUUUUAAUGCCAGGUUUUAUCCUUCAUAUUCAUCAGCAACUUCUAUAUACUAAAGGCCCUAUUCAGCAAUGGUGUUUGAAGUCGUGUUUAAUAUUUUGAAUGGGUCAAAAAAACAUUAUCUUAAUUAAUUAUAACGUUCGAUAAUAUAAUAUAUCUAUCCUAGCGUUUAGAAUUUGAGAGAGUAUUUCAUGAAACGUUAUCUUCAUUAACGUUUCCAGUUUCAUAAUUUUUUUAUAACACCUAUACCCAUCACUUGUGUUUACCUUGUUCCCCGCUUUCAUAUAUUUCUUGUCGUUUUAUAUUAAAUAGCCAAUCAAACAGUUAUUUAUAUCGAACACUUUUAUUCUAAACCGCUAUAUAAACAGCUAACAGAUAACUACUAGUAAAACAGUUGACAGCUAUCUGGUAUUGUUUUUCCUCAUUUAUCAGCAGAUGCUAUGGCAGAUAUGAUUAGGCCGGUUUCUAGGGAUGAGGUUGGGCAAUAGUCUCUAGUAUGGGUUCAUUUAAAUCUCCAAGGCCUGAUGGGUUCCAACCUUUAUUUUUUAAGAAGUAUUGGGAUAUUGUAGGUGAUAAGGUGGUCUCUUUUGUUAAUCACAUGUUUUCUACUGGUGUGAUGGAUCCCCAUUUGGCCAAAGGUUUUAUUGUUCUCAUUCAUAAGGUUGCUGCUCUGGAAUUUAUCUCUCAGUCCAGGCCAAUCACUCUUUGUAAUGUCUUACAUAAGGUGGUUAUGAAGGUUUUAGCUCUUCAGUUGCAACCCUUUAUGGAUAGGUUUAGUAGUCCUUUUUAGAGUAGCUUUAUUCCGGGACGUAGUAUGGUUGACAAUAUUAUUAUCACUCAAGAGCUUCUUCAUUCUUUUCAGAGAUCUACGUCUAAAAUGGGUCAUUUUGCUUUGAAAGUUGAUUUGGAAAAAGCCUAUGAUAGAGUGAAUUGGGAUUUUCUAUGAUUUGUUCUGGUUUCUUUUGGCUUUUUCUGACUUUUGGGUUUCUUUGAUUAUUAGUGCUUUUGCCUAGUCUUCUUUGGCAGUCUUUAGAAUGGGAGUCCUUCUGGUUAUUAUGUGCCUUCUCGAGGUCUGUGUAAAGGUGACCCUUUGUCCCCGUAUCUAUUUGUGCUUUGUAUGGAGGGGCUAUCUUUACUGAUUCAACGUCAAAUGGUUAGAAAAAAGUGGGUCUCGGCCCUUGCUUCAAGGGAUGGUCCUCUUAUUAAUCAUUUGCUAUUUCCCAACUACUUAAUUAUUUUGGAGAAAGCUUAUGUGCAACAAGCUAAAGUAGUUCAUGAUGUUUUGGCGGACUUUUGCAGAGGUAGUGGGUAAAAGGCUAAUCUGGCCAAAUCUCGCAUUUUCUUCUCUAGGACGGUCUCUUAUCCUAUACGACACAGGCUGCAGCAGUUACUAGGUGUGGCGGUUACCUCAGAUUUAGGCAAGAAUCUGGCCAAAUCUCGCAUUUCCUUCUCUAGGACGAUCUCUUAUCCUAUACGACACAGGCUACAGCAGUUACUAGGUGUGGCGGCUACCUCAGAUUUAGGCAAGUAUUUGGGGGUUCCUUUACUUCAUGGGCGGUCUUCUAUGGCACUGUAUCAGGACAUUAUUCAGAAAGUGGAGGUUCAUUUCGCAAAUUGGAGGUCCCGUUUACUUAGUCCUGCCGGUGAGGAAGUUCUUAUUAAAUCUUUUAUUUCUUCUUUACCUGUUUAUACUAUGCAAACUGUGUGGUUACUUUCUUCUAUUUGUGGGACUAUUGAUAAGUUAUCUCAUAAUUUUUAUUGGGGGAUCUACAGUGGAGUGUUGUAAGAUGCAUUUGGUUGGGUGAAAUUGGCUUAUUAAGCCUAUGAAGUUUGGGGGUUUGAGUUUCCGGAGUGCUCGAUUGUUUAAUGUUGCUAUGUUGGGUAAGUUGGGUUGGAAGGUUUUUAUACAUGACUCCACUCUUUGGGUCUAGGUUUUGACUCAUAAAUAUGGUCAUGGUUGCUCUUUUCCUCCGGUCUUGUGGGAUUGUGAUUCUUGUACUUGGAAAGGGAUUGUUCGUAGUUUCCAGCAUCUUCAGUCUCAUGUUUCUUGGCGGGUAGGAGAUGGUCGAUAAAUCAGUUUAUGGUAUAAUUCUUUGUUGCAUGUGGGUGCUUUGGUGGAUUUGGAAAGGUCUAUUUCUCGAGGUGAGGAGCAUCUUCGGGUGGGCGAUCUUAUUCAUAAUGGUUCUUGGGAUCUUUCUGUGUUACGUAUCGGUCUUUCUGAUGAUAUUAAGUGCUUAAUUUAUGCGGUUCCUCUUCCUUUGGUUGCUUCUAUCCAAGAUUCCAUUUUGUAAAAUUUUUCUUCUAAUGGUGAGUUUUAUGUUAAAGCAGCUUUUUAUCUUUAUUAUUGGUGGAGGUGCAUGUUGGUAUUGAUUUUGUUUCUUUCUCAUGGAUUUGGUCUGUUGAUGGUCUGCCUAAAUUGAGACAUUUCUUUUGGCUGAUUCUGCAUAGCCGUUUGCCGAUUAAUUCUUUUCGGUUUCAGAGAGGUAUGACUUUUUCUAGUCUAUGUAGUUUAUGUUCUAUGGAGGAGGAGUCUUUGUUGCAUCUUUUUCGUGAUUUAUUAUGGUACGGGCAUCGCGACAACAGUGGAGUUUGCCUCCUAAUUUUUUUGGGGUGGAUGAUGUUGUGUUGUAGUUGCGUUUAAAUUUAUCAUUGCAUACCUAAUCCCUUUGGUAUCUCCUGGCAUCAUUGAUUUUUAGCUGCUAUUUGGUGGGUUUGGAAAGCGAGGAACUUGUAUAUUUUUGAGAAUAAACUUGUUAUUUAUGCUUUAAAUCGUUGUGUUUUUAAAGUAGCUUUGGAUAUUGUGAAUUCUUUUACUCCUGUUGUUGCUUCGACUAGAGUUAGUAGGCAGUUUUGUGUGGCUUGGAAGCCUCAGGAGGGUUGGAUGAAGUUAAAUCGUAAUGAUAGUAGUCUUACUAAUCUGGGAUUGACUAGUGGUGGUGGUGUGUUUCGUGAUUAUUAGGGGAGGUGGCUUGGAGGUUAUUCUCUUAAUAUUGGUCACUCUACUAUUUUAGUUGGUAAGUUGUCCUCUAUUCGGUAGGCUUAUCUUGCUUGGGACCAUGGUUUCCGUAAGGUUAUUGUUGAGUCUAAUUGUUUGGAGGCUAUUAGGCUGGUGAUCUCAAGGUCAUUUAUUUCUCAUCCUUUGGCUAUUCUUAUUUUGGAUAUUCAUAGCUUGAUGACUCGUGAUUGAGAGUGUUCUAUCCAUUAUGUGUUUCCUGAAUUCUACGGCUGAUCAUUUGGCCAAGUUGGGGCAUGACAUCCCUUCUUCUUUAUUCAUUUGGGAAGCUAGUCCUAGUUUCUUGACUUUGAUUCUUUAGACUGAUGCUUGUAGCACUGGCUUUUUGAGAUAGGUUUCUACUUUUUGUUCUGCUCUUUUUUUACCACCAAAAAAAGAAAAUAGCUAACAGCUAUUAAAACAGUUACUAGCUACUAGAACCAUUAAAACAAAUGGUAUGCUGAUCGCUAAAUUUUUCAUGCCAAAUUUUGAAUUGCUUAUUAGGUCAAUUAACCACAUAAUAGAAUAAGAAUAUUCUGUUUUCUUUUAUGGUAUAUACAUAAUAGCGUAUUUUAUCCUCCAUCGAAUAACCAUAGCAAUUAUAUUUUUUUAUGCAUUGUAAUUAAUAAUGAUACAAUUGUUUUAUUUUCAAUAAAAAAAUAAUGAUAUACUUGGUUUUGUUUAAUAUGCAUUGGGUUAGGACUAUACCGUGCUCAUACUAUAUAUCGUGUUCACACUACUUAAAAUUGAACCACUCAUACUAACAUUUAUUAAUUUUCUCAAUUUGAUAUUAUUAAGAGUUAUUCGUCGCUGAAAUUUAAUAUUUUUUUUUUUUAGGAAAAUAGAUUACAAGGAAAAUAAUUUUUAAAAUGAUGAAUAUCAUAUAUUUUUGGAUCCAUUCAAAAUUUUAAUAAUUUUUGAAAAUUUCUUUUUUAAAAAAAUAAAUUAUAAGAAAGUAAUUUUAGAAAUAUUGAAUUUUAUUUUUCUUAUUUUAUUGGGAGAUCAAAUAGACCGCCAAGAGAAAUAAUAUGUUUCUAAAUGCAUUAAGUUUUCAUGUAAUCGAGAAGGUUGAAAUGUGUCUUAUGUUAUUCAAAAAUUGAAAUUUUUUAAAAAUGUAUAAAUUUUAUACCAACUAACAUUAAAAUUUAAAACAUUUUUCAUGAAAUUUCAGCAAUCAAACAUUUUUUAUGAAAAUAUCGAUUUGCAGGUCCCUUGGCUAAUACCAGUAAAUUUAAAAUAAAAAAAUAAAAUUGGGCACAUGUUUGCACGUUCAGGUGUUUUUUCCUAGGGGAUCACAAAUCCUUUAACAACAAUAAAAAAUUUUAAAAAAAAAAUCUCAAAUCGUUAGCGAACGAACCCAUCUCGCACGUUCAAGCUUGGUCAAGUCCAACGGCUGGCCGUCAGUCAACUGUCAACCUAACAUGUUUCAACUCAACUUGCGUCCCCCAUGCCCACCUAACACCCUGCGCAAUUACGAUCCAGAUUCUAAAAGUAUGGGGUCAGAAAUAAAUUUUUUAAAAGUUUUUAGGCCAAAUAAAAAAUUUUAGACAAUGUAUGAUUAGUUGUAAUCGAAUUAGAAUGUAAUAUAAUACAAAUAAAAGCAUUUCUGUUGUAAUAUUUACAUUAAAAUACGUUUAAUUAUAUUACAUUAUAUUUCAUUACAGUUCAAUCACAGUCUCAUUUAUUUCUAUUAAAUUCACUUUGAACAUGAUAAUUCUCUUUAUAUAUAUAUAUAUAUAUAUAUAUAUAUAUGAUUUUUAAUAAUUUAAAACUGUUAUAGAAAAUAUAAACAAGGAUGUUUAUAUUAGGGAAGCAAAGUUCGAUUAAAGUCAAAAUCAAUUUGAACCGAUUUAAUUUGAUUUUUCUAUUCAAUUAUUUAGAUAUUAAUCUCGAUUUUAGCUUAUAUCAUAGAUAACUUUAAUUAUAGGUUUUAGUGUGGUUAUCCAGAAUAUAUAAUAUUCACUCAAAUCCGAUUGAAAUUAAAUAAAUUUAGUUUGAUUUCAAAUAAUACAUUUCUGAAUUAUUUUAUAAAAAAUUUGAAACUGAAGUGCUGAACUGCGCACCCUAAUUUAUAUAUCUCAAUCUUGUCUUUGACGAUUUUUGUUAUCUUCCACUACACCAGCCUAUUCAAUUCUUUUCUUUAAAAAAAAAAAUGUAAUUCAUUAAUAAUAAUAAUAUUAAGAAUUAUAAAUAAGCAUAUAGAACAGAGAUAGAACUUUACUAUUAGCUAAUAAAAUUCAUUGAUCUCUCAAUGAAAUAAAGGAUUUUAUAUCCUUUUGAAUAAUGAAAUUGAAAUUAAAACUAAAAAAUAUAGUAUCAUAUCUUUCCGUUUAGAGUUGAUCUUAACAAAAAAUAUAAAUCUUCAUAGUAGCAAUUAGUCCGUUAAUUGAUUUGAAAGUCAAAAUAAUAACUCAUUUGGAUCUUAUAUAACUAGAUUGUUUUUCUAAUAAUUUGCAACAUAUGACGAAUAUAUAUGAGUUUCCACUGCUAUGUGUCAAUAGUAUCAAUGGAAUAACAUGCUGCACUAUCAGACUCUAAAUAAAAUCAAAUGUUAUAGUUUUAUUUAGUAAUAAACCCUCACAAAAAAUGGAUUACCCUCAUAAAGAAGGGAAAAAAAAUUCCAAAUAUGGAGAUAACCAACGAUAACAAAACAAAAAAGACAAAUAUGUUAUGCGAAAAACAGAUUUGAGUUUAUUAAAAUAAAAGAAGAUUAAAAGCAAAACAAUGUGAAACGAGAUAAUAAAAAGUAUAAGCUAUGGGCUGCUGCUGAUAAAUGAAGGCAACUUCAAACUAAAACUAUGAUUAAAAGACUAUUCACUUUAUUUUAUUUAUUUAUUUAUUUAUUUUUACAGACUUACAUAUCAAUCUUCAUCUUUGUAAUGUAUUAUAAAGCAAACACUCUUUCAUAUCUAUCACUAUAAUUUAAUGGGUUGGUGGAAAAUCCAACUCAUUUAAUUUAAUUUAAUUUUGAUAAUUGGAUUUUGUUUUUUAUUAUUUUACUUAAAUUUUUUAUUUUAUGUUUUUUAGUAUUGAUGAAAGAGAUUUAAAAAUUAUUUAUACACUUACUACUAAAUUAUACAUUUAUGUACAAUAUUUCACUUUAGCCUAAUUUCAAAUUUUAUAAAUUUCAUUUAUCUCAAUCAAAAAUUCUUUAUAACAAAAUAAUUAACAUAACCAAACUAUAUAUUUUACAUAUAAAGUAACACUCACAUAUUAUUUUAAUAUAAUUUUUGCUAAUGCUUUUAAGUAUAUUGUAUUUCUUUUUGUUCGAUUUUAAGGACAAGAAGUAUAAAAUAAAUUAAUGUUGUUGUCCUUAAACCUAACUAGUAUACUUUUUUGGACAUAUUAAUUGGUGAAAGUAAUUGUUGCGUUACAUAUAGUCAAAGAUUGAAAUAAUUAGACAGUAAUUAUUGUUAUUAUACGCAAUUAAAGCCAGUAAACGUACAAGAAUACAUUUUGGCCUCCAAACUACCAAUUAUUUAAAAAAAAUUUAUAGAAUUGUUUAUUUUGUUUUAUUGUCAUUUUUCACCUAAUUACUGUUUAAAAAAAAAAAGGGUCUUGCUAGCAGCCUAGCAUGUUUUCAAGAUUAAUUUAGAAAAAAAGAAAUUAAGCAGGCACAAUUAUUUAUUUCACGGGAAAUUAACAUCUCCAUUUUCAAGUUUAAACUAUAUUAAACAACCAACAACCCAUUCAUACUUUAUUAAUAUGAGAUUUGAAAUUAAGACUUUAAGGAUCAAAAAAUGAUAAAUUUUAUAUUUUUAUAAAAUGUUUUUCCAUUUUAAAAAGUUAAAAUCAGUAUUAUUUUUUUUCUAAUUUUAGCCUUUUCACUAAAUAGCAUUAAUUAUUUCUUUUUUUUUUUCUUAAAAUUGAGAUGGGUAAAUUAUUUUAUGAAUUCAAAAUAUAUAAUGUUUAACGUAACUGAAGGAGAAUAAUGCAUAAUAAACUAAUUUCUCUGAAGUAAUAUAAUAAAAAUAAUGUAAUUAAACUGAUGUUUUGCCUGGUUAGACCAAUCGCACGUGCAUUGAAAAACAUAAGAAAGCUAAUCAAUUUGAAGUUAGGGAGAGAGAUGAUCUAAUCCAGAGAGCAAUAGAUGUUAAAAACUUUUUGACCAGUGACCACUGACCAUGCCAUUUUCCUAUUUUGUUUCAUUGUUUUUGGAGUUAUUAGAGCUUUAUUAUUCUUUUAUAAUAUUUUAUUUGGGUAGUCAGCAAAUCUAUUAAAUAAGUUCUGGAAGAUGACAAAAAAUCGCAAGGUAUAUCCUUAGAGUUAGAUAGCUAGGCAGUGGCAGACAGGGUGUAAAUCAGCCGGCGGAGCUGUAACUAACCAUGUUGAAAUGUCUGCUCGAAAAUUAAUCAGCUCAAAAAUUUAGUUUGAACUCGAUUCAAUUUUAAUUUGAAAAAUUUUAAUUUUAAGUUUAUUAAGGUUGGAUGAGUUUUCAAAUUAAAUAUUAUUAAAUUUGAGCUUGAUUCAAGUAUUUUCAAACUAUUUUUGAGCCGAAUUAAAAUAAUUCGCGAGUUAACUUAGCUUAUUUACAUCCAUAGUGGCGGAUGUAUUAAUAAAAAUGAGUCAAUUGAUUUUUGUUUUUUUUUUUUUGCAAAUUUUCUUUAUAUACGUGUAUAAUUACUCAUUUACCUCUCCUAUUUUUUUUAUUGACCCUCCUUUAUAGGUAAAAGAAAAAUUAAGAGAUUUAGAUAAAGAGCAAAACUAUUGACCCUAAAAAGAAAAAUUUUUAGAUCCGCCGUUGUGGCUAGAGAACUUGCAAUGAAUUUACUAAUGUAUCCUAUUAUUUACAUACAUUCUAAUUUAUAUUAUAGAUAUUAUUGUAAUUUGUAAUUUGAGAGAAAUUGACUUAUAGUCACAUACCAAACAUAUCUAAAUUAUAUUUCUUGAAAAAUAAUCUCCUUAAAAGUUUACUUUCCGAGAAGUAUAUUUUCUACAAAAUAACACAUUUUGAACCAAACGUGGCCUUAAGACAAUAAAUAAUUAAUAAUGGAUGUCUAAAAUUCAAUAGCAAAAUUAGUUUAAAGUUCGAGGAUAAAAAUUUUCAAAAAAAUCACCCACAAACACACACACACACACACACAUAUAUAUAUNNNNNNNNNNNNNNNNNNNNNNNNNNNNNNNNNNNNNNNNNNNNNNNNNNNNNNNNNNNNNNNNNNNNNNNNNNNNNNNNNNNNNNNNNNNNNNNNNNNNNNNNNNNNNNNNNNNNNNNNNNNNNNNNNNNNNNNNNNNNNNNNNNNNNNNNNNNNNNNNNNNNNNNNNNNNNNNNNNNNNNNNNNNNNNNNNNNNNNNNNNNNNNNNNNNNNNNNNNNNNNNNNNNNNNNNNNNNNNNNNNNNNNNNNNNNNNNNNNNNNNNNNNNNNNNNNNNNNNNNNNNNNNNNNNNNNNNNNNNNNNNNNNNNNNNNNNNNNNNNNNNNNNNNNNNNNNNNNNNNNNNNNNNNNNNNNNNNNNNNNNNNNNNNNNNNNNNNNNNNNNNNNNNNNNNNNNNAUAUAUAUAUAUAUAUAUAUAUGAAUUUUUUUUAGUUGCUAUAAAUCUUAAUUUAUAUUUUAAAAUUGUCAUGAGUGAUAAUUUUUAUUAUUCAUACUCAUUUCAGACUUAUUUAAUUAUAAAUAGUUGAACCCAUAAUAACAUAUUAAAAGGGAUCAAAUGUCUGAACUAAUCGAAUAUAUGGUGAACUAAUCGAAUCAUUCUGAGUUGUCUUGAAUUGGUUAAGCAUUUCAACAUCUACACAAACCAGUUUGGACAAAUUUGCUGAUAUGGUUGAGAUCAUGUAGGGAAAUAGAGAAUCAUUUUGCAAUUAUAAAGAAGAUGAAGACAAAGGGUUGGUGACAGCAGAAAGUGUUAGUUACCCAAAAAAAAAAAAAAAGUCAUUUAUAUAUUGCUGAGUCACCUAACACAGGCUAAAAUUAAAUAUCCUCUUUUAAUAAUUUUAAAAAUACAUUUCUCUUAUUUUCUCUCUCGCUAUGUAUAUAUAUUUCUCUUCAUGAGCUUAAUUUAUUCAUAAAUAUAAUAUUAAACAAUCUUAAUAUCAAGCAAAAUAUAAAUUAAUUUCUAAAUUAUAAUAUAUCAAUAUACAAGGAACUCUAUUUAAAAAAUUAAUUAUAAAUUCUUUAAAUUAUAAUUUUAUUAAUAUUUUGUUCUUCCAUCAAAAUAUGAAUAGAAUCAUAAAUUACAGACCUCAAAGUUAGUUUUUUAAAAAUAAUAAUUCUUCAAGUUUGUAUCGAAUAAAAUAUAUACUUCGGGUUUAGUUUAAUUAUCAUUUUAAAGACAAAUUUUUUAUAUUUUUUUUCAUCUUAAAAUCUUUUUUAUAAAAGAUCAAUUUUUUUUUUUCAGUCAAUUGAUUGUGAAUGAUGUUAUUUUAAACAAUGUUCAAAGUGUUAAUAAAAUUAUAAUUUAACAAUAAUUUAAAACUCAGUUUAUAUUUUUUUAAUAUUAAUAAUUAUUAAUAUUAUACACUUCUGAUAAUUCCCUUCCCGCCCACUUCGUCACCAGGAACAAGAAAGUCAGCUAAGAUCAAUUUAAUUACAUGUAAGACACACAUCAGAAGCCGAAAUUUCUAUUCUAGCGUGCAGUACCACAAAAUAUUUCAGAAGUGCAGUUCUAGUAGUGGCAGUUUAAAUAUACUAAUUUCUAAGCAAAUUGGAAACUAAUUAUUAGUUAAUUUUUCGAAUCAACUAAUUAAUUAAAGAAUCAAACCAAACUACAUUACAAUUCAAAUUCUUGCUCUCACUUUAAAGUAUAAAUAUACAAUAUAAUUAUUUAUAAAAAAAAAUAAAUAUAUGACAAGAUAAAUGAUUCGACAACGACAGUAUACUAAAAGUCUGUUCAGUAAAAUUAGUUGUUUUGGUAGUUAUUAAUUGUUUUAGUAGCGUUUAAUUAUUAGAUAUUUAAGUAACUUUUUAUAAAAUGCUAAAAACUAAACAUUAUAUGGGUUUAACUUUUUAUAAAAACAUUAUCUUAAACCUCUAAAAACUAAUUCAAACGCUAUCUUACCAAACAUUAUAAAAAAUAGCAUUUAUUAUUGCCGAACACAGCCUAAGACAACAUUAUUUGUUAAACACUCAUACAGUAAAUCCAGUAAGAUCUUAAUUUAAAGACUAAAUCCAAGACCUUAAAUUUAAAAAAUUUGAGUUUUAGAAUCAUAUCUAUGUUGAGUAUUAAUAUUAAAAUUAAAAGAAAUAAACAUUCUCUCAUGAGUUCAGUCCAGAACCCAUCAGCUAUAAGCGGACUACUUAAAUUGCUCCUACAACCAGACGAGUUACCACGUGUUGGGUGAACUAAAGGCUUUCCCCGGGCAUUAAACAAUCGACUCAGAACUAAUACGAACAAGAGAAAUCCGACUAUUUAAUUAAAAUAAAAUAUUGUGCUGGUCCAUGACGGAUGCUUGCUUAUAAAAUUAUUUUGAUUGCAAAAUUAUCUCAAUCAGCGAAGAGCUUUCGGUCCUAAUUUCUAUUCCGGGAAGAAAAAUAAGCUAUCCAAUAAAAUAAAUUUAAAAAACAACUAUUUCUCCAAUUUUAUCCAAGUCUUGACCUUACUCUCUAUGCUAUAACUUAGAUAAGAUUAAAG
rnacentral:lncRNA from 1 species